ACUCAAAUGAAUUGACGGGGACCCGCACAAGCAGUGGAGUAUGUGGUUUAAUUCGAAGCAACGCGAAGAACCUUACCAGGUCUUGACAUCCCUCUGAAUACGUUAGAGAUAGCGUAGGCCUUCGGGACAGAGGAGACAGGUGGUGCAUGGUUGUCGUCAGCUCGUGUCGUGAGAUGUUGGGUUAAGUCCCGCAACGAGCGCAACCCUUGAAUCCAGUUGCCAGCAGGUAAGGCUGGGCACUCUGGAUUGACUGCCGGUGACAAACCGGAGGAAGGUGGGGAUGACGUCAAAUCAUCAUGCCCCUUAUGACCUGGGCUACACACGUACUACAAUGGUCGGUACAACGGGAAGCGAAGCCGCGAGGUGGAGCCAAUCCUAAAAAGCCGAUCUCAGUUCGGAUUGCAGGCUGCAACUCGCCUGCAUGAAGUCGGAAUUGCUAGUAAUCGCGGAUCAGCAUGCCGCGGUGAAUACGUUCCCGGGUCUUGUACACACCGCCCGU
rnacentral:rRNA from 1 species